GCGCGAUUCACAUCUCAACCGAAAUAUUUGUAAAGCGAUACGAACGAGUUACGAGAUGAAAUCCGCAAUGUUUAAAAACGCGAUUCAUAGCACACAUACUUUGAUCUCGUUUUCAUAUCGCUAGUUCGUAUUUGGAUGGCUUGAGUGAAAUGAAUGAAACUAUAUUUUUUUUAAUUGCCAUGCAAAAAUUAUAAAUACUACCACUAAUUGUUUUAAAUAAUUUUGUUCCUACAAUAUAUUUUGUUGGAAUUAGUGUCGAUAGCAAGUAUCAAGAAACAGCUUUUUAAUUCAACGUUGAAGAAAUUCAUAACCUGUGGCACUUUUGACAGCCGCCAUGUUUUCUCCAUAAAAACAUUGAUUUUCUUUGCUCAUUUUCGUGUCAACGUAGUUUUUUUGGAAAAUAAGAAGAAAGGAAGUUUAACUUACUUAGAGAAAUACGACUGAGACAUAAACACAAGCAGCAGCCGAUGUGCUUGAGUAGCAGAAGGAGCAACUGCGUUGUGAGAGGGCCACGGCUUCAGCCCUCACAAUGAUAGCUGAUUAGCUGAAGUAAUGAA